rnacentral:misc_RNA from 1 species
GUGGUUCAAGUGUUUUAUCUGUGGUUUAUGGUCAAUUUUUGAUAAAAGUUGUUUUUGGUUGUUUUUAAAACUAAAUAUAGAAGUAAACAACUAUUUUUGAAUUUUUCGAAAAUGGGUAAAAACAAAAAGACCAACCAAAAAUUAUUUUUUUCUAACUAUCCGUAUACAGUGAAAGAACGUUUAUACAGAAGCCCAAAAUUUUCAAAUGGGAGGCAACGUCAUAGGUAUCACAAAGGAAAUCGGGGUGAUAAUGAAAGUCAUUAUUUUAGAAGAGACAGGGCAAAUGAACAGCUCAGGCCAUCUUCUCCUGUUGAAGGAAGUGAAGAAUAUAUGGCUCGUAAGAUAAAACACACUAGUGCAAUUAUAAUGCGGCAGUUACUGACUCCAGAUGAACCAGUUAUAUCAUCAGAGUCAGCAAUAGUACAAAGCAAUGUAAACAAGUCAUUCUUAGUCACGAAGGAAAAUGCUUUGAGUGAAAAUUUAACUAAACAAAAAGAUACUCUGAAUAAAACUAAAAAAUGUAAUAAUAUUGAAUUUAAUGUAAAAGAAAUAGAAGAAAAAAUUAUGUCUCAUAUUUUGAAUUUAAAUGAUGGAAGAAGAAAAAAUUUUAUUAAUGCAACAUCAACUGGAUUAGAUGUAACUAUUCAAGAAAUGCAGAAACAAAAGAGAUUAGAGUUAUCUCGAAUAUUGAGAAACAUGUGUAAUUCACCAUACGAUCCAAAAGAGUCGGGAGAACUUAUUAACUCAAUUAUACCAGAUAUUGGAGUUAAGAUAGAAGAGUUGCCCUUGAAUGUUAUAGAAGAACUUAGAUUAACUUUAAAUUUUGACUUUGAUGAAGAACCAGUUGCUAGAACAGAAUUCGGAUUGGAUGUUGACAAUCAGGACAGGAUUGUUGACAAUUCAGGAUUGGAUGUUGACACAUCUGAUACUUCUAGUUAUACAAAAAGUCAAAAUUGCAUCGAAAAUAGUUUUACUACUUUAGAAGUUGAUAGUAUAGAAAUUAAAACUGAAGGUAUAUUAGAAGGGGAUAAUGAAGUAAACAGGAAUACACUUGAUGAUAGCGAUCUACAAAUAGUUGAUGAUAAUUCAGUGCACAGUUGCAAUACUGUUUUGAUAAAGAAUGAAAUUGAAGACGAGACUGAAUUGGAAUCAGAAAUUAUUGACUUGGAAGAUUGUGGCAAUAGUUCAGAAGAAACUGUUGUAUCUCCGAGUAUAAGCAGCAAAGAACAAAGAUUUAGACAAGAAGUAAAUAGCAACAAAGAAGUAAAUGCAGCAAAUAUAAUGUCUAAUGGUGAAAAUCUAUCUCUAUCAGAAUCAGAUUUCUAUAAUUCCUUACAAAGUUUUUCAAGGAAUUAUGGCUGCGAUGUUAGCCAUUUAAAGGAAGUUUCGCAUAAAAUGAAUUUUAUUGAUAAGUGUAUCGACCAAUUAAAGGAAUUUAGAAAAUCAAUAUUUAAUGCUUACUGCUAUAGUUUCGAAAACAAUCAAAAUGGAGGAGAGAAUCAAAUUACAAGUACACUUACAUUGACAAGUCCAGUUGUUGAUAAUGAGGUGCCCUCAAAAUUACCAGAAAGAAUUUCAGAAAAGCAGAAUACUUUACUGACAUCUGAUAUGCAUGAAAAUUACUGCAAAACCAUUAAAGAGGAACAGGAUAAUAUAGAACACAUUUUAAAUUUUCCUACACUUAAUGAAAAGGUUUUAGUUAUUCAGAGACUAAAAGAAGAAUUAGUAAUAGGUACAGAUUGCGGAAAUAUUUUUUGUAUAUGUUUGGCCACUGGAGAAAUAAUUUAUACAUUAAAGAUAACAACAGUCACAUUAACUAGUAUGUUAUUUAUUAAGGGAUUAAAUGGUUUUAUGUAUAUGUAUAUAGGAAGUUUCGAUAGAGUAUUGAGAGUAUAUGAUUAUUAUAAUAGACAGUUAUUGAAAUCUUUUGCUCUUGAUGAUCAAGUAAGCUGUAUGGAUGCUAUGUGGGGAUAUAUUUUCAUGGGUUGUAAGGCAGGAACCCUUGUAAGAUAUUGUAUAGAGAAAAGAAAAAUUGAAUCAACCGAAAAAAAUGUUGGAUUAUGUACAAUGGUAAUUAAAGCAACUCAAGAAGGGCCACGUAAAGUGCUGGUAGUAGGUUAUAGAGGAGCUCCAAUAUAUUUAAGAUGUGCAAUGUCUGGCCUUUUUUUGCGAUACUUUAGUAGCGACGCCAUAUCUCCAACUGUAUAUUCGUUAAUUUUGGAGAAUAAUUUUUUAUAUUGUGGGACUCCACAACAAAGUAUAUUGGUUUUCUCAUUUCAUAACGGCAAUCUUGUAAAUAAGAUCAGCUCUGAAAAUCUUAGAGGGAUAAGUUGCAUGAACAUUUAUAACAGUCAUCUUUUUGCUGGUUGUUAUAAUGGAAACGUAUAUGUAUACAAUUUGAAUACACAAAGUAACGUCGCAAUUAUGGAAGGUCCGGGGGGAGGUAUAAUAUCAAUGGAAGUGCUCCACAACCAGGUAAUUGUUGGAACACUUACUAAACAAUUUACUUCCAUUCCCAUUCCAAAUUCAGUUCUUUCUUGAUAGAAAUUCCAGUCUGUAUAUUAAGGAUAAAAAAACAGGAAACUACAAAAGCGCAUGUAUACUUUUAUGAUUUAUAUAAAAUAUUUUCAAAAUGAGCCUAUCAUAAUGCAAAAUCAGGAGAUAAAAAAAAUACAUAUGCGAAUCACAUACUGAUUCAAGGUACAGUAAAAUCUAUAGUUUCUACAGGAAAAGCAUAUACCAUCUCGAUAGUCGACAUCCAAAUAAUUACAGAAAAGCAAUGUACUUAUUUAUGUAGUAAUGCAAGUAAAGUAACAUACAACUGUUACUGUUACACUAUAGGUUAGUAUUAGACCGGCUAUAGGUUACAGUAGCGACAUCUUGAAAUAGUUUGCAUUGUUAUUGAUAUUUUGUGCUGAAUUGAUGUAAAAGCCGGUUUUUGUAAUGCUCCAGUAUACAGAUUUGUAAAAUUUGGUGCCUACAUAGACAUAAAAUUGAAGUUUGAA